rnacentral:rRNA from 1 species
AUGCAAGUCGAACGAUACGGUCGAUUGGGUAACCGAGAGAUCGUAUAGUGGCGAAAGGGUGAGGAAUAGAUAGGUAACGUACCCCGUGCUUCGGGAUAGCGUUCCGAAAGGAACGGUAAUACCGGAUAAUAUCAGUGAUUGCAGGAUUGCUGAUCAAAGAUUUAUCGGUGCGGGAGCGGCCUAUCUCCUAUCAGCUAGUUGGUGAGGUAAUGGCUCACCAAGGCGAUGACGGGUAGCGGGACUGAGAGGUUGACCCGCCACAUCGGGACUGAGACACUGCCCGGACCUCCACGGAGGGCUGCAGUAACGAAUAUUGGGCAAUGGGCGAAAGCCUGACCCAGCGACGCCGCGUAUAGGAUGAAGUUCUUCGGAAUGUAAACUAUUGUCAGGGGCUCGAAAGCCGUAAGGUUGAUCAGCCCCAGAGGAAGUCACGACUAACUUCGUGCCAGCAGUCGCGGUAAUACGAAGGUGACAAGCGUUAUUCGAAAUCACUGGGCUUAAAGGGUGCGUAGGCGGAAAUGUAAGUGUCUUGUGAAAUACCUUGGCUUAACCAAGGCAUUGCUCGGCAAACUGCAUUUCUUGAGGCAAGCAGGGGUGUGUGGAACUCUUGGUGGAGCGGUGGAAUGCGUAAAUAUCAAGAGGAACGCCGAAGGUGAAGACAGCACACUGGGCUUGUCCUGACGCUGAUGCACGAAAGCGUGGGGGAGCAAACAGGAUUAGAUACCCUGGUAGUCNACCGCCCUAAACGAUGUCGACUAGGUUGUAGAAAGUUCUGACACUGUUUACAGCCCNAAGCAAAAGUNUUUAANUUCNACCCGCCUGGGGGAGUACGGUCCGCCAAGGCU